AGACCCGAAACCCGGUGAUCUAGCCAUGGGCAGGUUGAAGGUUGGGUAACACUAACUGGAGGACCGAACCGACUAAUGUUGAAAAAUUAGCGGAUGACCUGUGGCUGGGGGUGAAAGGCCAAUCAAACCGGGAGAUAGCUGGUUCUCCCCGAAAGCUAUUUAGGUAGCGCCUCGUGAAUUCAUCUCCGGGGGUAGAGCACUGUUUCGGCUAGGGGGCCAUCCCGGCUUACCAACCCGAUGCAAACUGCGAAUACCGGAGAAUGUUAUCACGGGAGACACACGGCGGGUGCUAACGUCCGUCGUGAAGAGGGAAACAACCCAGACCGCCAGCUAAGGUCCCAAAGUCAUGGUUAAGUGGGAAACGAUGUGGGAAGGCCCAGACAGCCAGGAUGUUGGCUUAGAAGCAGCCAUCAUUUAAAGAAAGCGUAAUAGCUCACUGGUCGAGUCGGCCUGCGCGGAAGAUGUAACGGGGCUAAACCAUGCACCGAAGCUGCGGCAGCGAACGUAUCACCCAAGACAACUUUACGGAGUUGGCGAUUGACGGAGCGAAGCGACGUCAAAGCGUUCAUUAAAGUCGAGUUGGCUUAGGGAUACGUUCGUUGGGUAGGGGAGCGUUCUGUAAGCCUGUGAAGGUGUGUCGUGAGGCAUGCUGGAGGUAUCAGAAGUGCGAAUGCUGACAUAAGUAACGAUAAAGCGGGUGAAAAGCCCGCUCGCCGGAAGACCAAGGGUUCCUGUCCAACGUUAAUCGGGGCAGGGUGAGUCGACCCCUAAGGCGAGGCCGAAAGGCGUAGUCGAUGGGAAACGGGUUAAUAUUCCCGUACUUGGUGUUACUGCGAAGGGGGGACGGAGAAGGCUAUGUUGGCCGGGCGACGGUUGUCCCGGUUUAAGCGUGUAGGUGUGUGUUCCAGGUAAAUCCGGUU
rnacentral:rRNA from 2 species